rnacentral:rRNA from 1 species
UACGGAGGGUGCAAACGUUGCUCGGAAUCAUUGGGCGUAAAGCGCACGUAGGCGGACUACUAAGUCGGAUGUGAAAGCCCUCGGCUUAACCGAGGAAGUGCAUUCGAAACUGGCAGUCUUGAGUAUGGAAGAGGGUCGCGGAAUUCCCGGUGUAGAGGUGAAAUUCGUAGAUAUCGGGAGGAACACCAGUGGCGAAGGCGGCGACCUGGGCCAAUACUGACGCUGAGGUGCGAAAGCGUGGGGAGCAAACAGG